rnacentral:ncRNA from 2 species
UCCUUAUCAAGAGAGGUGGAGGGAAAAAGGCCCGAUGAAACCCGGCAACCAGCAAAGCUUUUGGCUUUGCAAUGGUGCCAACUCCGUCAGAAAGCAAAAUAUCUUAGCUUUCUGAGAGAUGAGGA